CAGCAGCCGCGGGAAUACGAAGGGGGCUAGCGUUGUUCGGAAUCACUGGGCGUAAAGGGUGCGUAGGCGGAUUCUUAAGUCAGGGGUGAAAUCCCGAGGCUCAACCUCGGAACUGCCUUUGAUACUGGGGAUCUUGAGUCCGGAAGAGGUGAGUGGAACUGCGAGUGUAGAGGUGAAAUUCGUAGAUAUUCGCAAGAACACCAGUGGCGAAGGCGGCUCACUGGUCCGGAACUGACGCUGAGGCACGACAGCGUGGGGAGCAAACAGGAUUAGAUACCCCCGUAGUCCCUGUCUCUUAUAA
rnacentral:rRNA from 1 species